rfam:TPA: Bos taurus chromosome 28, whole genome shotgun sequence.
UCCCUGGUGGCUCAGAUGGUAAAGAAUCUGCCCGCAAAGCAGGAGACCCAGGUUCAAUCCCUGGCUUGGGAA